rnacentral:misc_RNA from 1 species
CCGUGGGGGCCCUCCGGGGCCCCUACCGAGAUAGCACCCCUUGUCUUUUCGAGCACCAACCGUUUCCUCGGCGGGCCCGCCCGCCAACGGGGACCAACACAAACCUUUCAAAACGCAGUAUCAGAAGUAAACCGUACGCAAACAAAACAAUCA